UGUCCGGAAUUAUUGGGCGUAAAGGGCUCGCAGGCGGUUUCUUAAGUCUGAUGUGAAAGCCCCCGGCUCAACCGGGGAGGGUCAUUGGAAACUGGGGAACUUGAGUGCAGAAGAGGAGAGUGGAAUUCCACGUGUAGCGGUGAAAUGCGUAGAGAUGUGGAGGAACACCAGUGGCGAAGGCGACUCUCUGGUCUGUAACUGACGCUGAGGAGCGAAAGCGUGGGGAGCGAACAGGAUUAGAUACCCUGGUAGUCCACGCCGUAAACGAUGAGUGCUAAGUGUUAGGGGGUUUCCGCCCCUUAGUGCUGCAGCUAACGCAUUAAGCACUCCGCCUGGGGAGUACGGUCGCAAGACUGAAACUCAAAGGAAUUGACGGGGGCCCGCACAAGCGGUGGAGCAUGUGGUUUAAUUCGAAGCAACGCGAAGAACCUUACCAGGUCUUGACAUCCUCUGACAAUCCUAGAGAUAGGACGUCCCCUUCGGGGGCAGAGUGACAGGUGGUGCAUGGUUGUCGUCAGCUCGUGUCGUGAGAUGUUGGGUUAAGUCCCGCAACGAGCGCAACCCUUGAUCUUAGUUGCCAGCAUUCAGUUGGGCACUCUAAGGUGACUGCCGGUGACAAACCGGAGGAAGGUGGGGAUGACGUCAAAUCAUCAUGCCCCUUAUGACCUGGGCUACACACGUGCUACAAUGGACAGAACAAAGGGCAGCGAAACCGCGAGGUUAAGCCAAUCCCACAAAUCUGUUCUCAGUUCGGAUCGCAGUCUGCAACUCGACUGCGUGAAGCUGGAAUCGCUAGUAAUCGCGGAUCAGCAU
rnacentral:rRNA from 1 species